UCCCGAAUUAGAGGCGCGCUGUUUAUCAGUAAAUCGGAAUAGGGUGACACCCGCACACCGAUUGAAAGGAAAUGGCGCCGAAGUGAGUGUGGCAGUCAACCAUUCUUACUGGUAGUGCAUCGAAUAGGUGUACUACUGUCACAGUUUAUACUGUGGAGAGCUAACGGGUAC
rnacentral:ncRNA from 1 species